UGGAAGAAACAGCACUCAAACCAUUGCCAUAUAACGUUACUGCAUCUUGGAGCUUGUGCUCAUUUUUUCCUUCAUCUUCUCUGAAUGAUUUUUCCUUGGGAGUGUAGUGGCGAAGACCCAAAUUCAGAGGAAAAUCUUCUCUGUCCAUGUGCAAGAACAAAGCCGCUUUGCAUGAUUUAAACACAAAUAUCUAUGAGGAGAACAUGAACAGUGCACUGCUGAGAGGUGCAAAUCAAAGUAACAUAUGCUACAUUCCCUUUUGCUAGUAGAAUUGAAGUUUUUGUCCUUCCUCUUUGUCUGAAAGGUGCUACAGAGGUAUUCCCUUCUCAUACCUUCCUGCUUGACACGUGACUGCAAGCACCCAUGCGAGAAAUAGAGGCCAAAACAUAAGAGGAAAAAACUCAAAUAAUAUAAGCUUAAUUUCUUCAUUCAAUAAUAAAAUGACAAUAAUAUCUAGGCAUUCCAAAAUUGAACAGAAAUGCACACACAAUGAGUGCAGAACCUGAUCCCUGCUCUCUUUAGAAUAAGUGUUCUCUUCUUCUUUACUUAAGGGGAGGAGUGGGGGAACGGAGUAUAGCAUGAAUAAUAAAUGUUACAAACCCGACCCCUGAUCUCUUUAGAGGAAGAGUUCUCUUCUUUUCUUGAGGGAUGGGGUGGCGGAAUGGAAUACAUGAAUAACAAAUGUUACAAGAAUAAAA